rnacentral:tRNA from 1 species
ACCCAUAACUCAGUCGGUAGAGCAUGAGACUCUUAAUCUCAGGGUUGGGGGUUUGAGCCCCACAUUGGGCA